AGCGGCGGACGGGUGAGUAACGCGUGGGUAACCUGCCUUAUACAGGGGGAUAACAGUUAGAAAGGACUGCUAAUACCGCAUAAGCGCACAGUACCGCAUGGUAGUGUGUGAAAAACUCCGGUGGUAUAAGAUGGACCCGCGUCUGAUUAGCCAGUUGGCGGGGUAACGGCCCACCAAAGCGACGAUCAGUAGCCGACCUGAGAGGGUGACCGGCCACAUUGGGACUGAGACACGGCCCAAACUCCUACGGAAGGCAGCAG
rnacentral:rRNA from 1 species